rnacentral:lncRNA from 1 species
CAGGUUAGUGUUGUACCCGUCGUCAAGAGUCGAUGCCUGAUGACGGAGCAUCUUAAUGUGCUCAUACAUCUCUCGAAAUUUACGAUCGAUGUCAGUAACAGUAUGAUUCUCAUAACACAGCAAAGGGGAUCGCCAACUGGGCAUCGAGUCCUGCCUAGAAUGGGGACUCGACAAUCAUCUUCUAAGCUCGGGACUACGAGGUCAGCUGUGAUGGGUCUACCUUCCCCGCUCAGAGCUUCGAGGGGAGAGUGGAGGUCGUCCC